rnacentral:rRNA from 1 species
CAAUAGCGUAUAUUAAAGUUGUUGCAGUUAAAAAGCUCGUAGUUGGAUUUCUGAAUUGAAUAUCCGGUCCGCUCGUCUCUGAUGAGUGCGUACUUAUGGAUAUUGGAUUCAUUUUUUGUGAGGACAUUUAUCUGUCAUUAAGUUGAUGGAUUUAUAGACUUGCAUCGUUUACUGUGAAAAAAUUAGAGUGUUUAAAGCAGGCGUUCGCCCAUUUGAAUACAUUAGCAUGGAAUAAUAAGAUAUGACUUUGGUGGUCUAUUUUGUUGGUUUGCACACCAGAGUAAUGAUUAAUAGGGACAGUUGGGGGUAUUCAUAUUUCAACGUCAGAGGUGAAAUUCUUAGAUCGUUGAAAGAUGACCUUAGGCGAAAGCAUUUACCAAGGAUGUUUUCAUUAA